rnacentral:rRNA from 1 species
UACGUAGGGUGCGAGCGUUGUCCGGAAUUAUUGGGCGUAAAGGGCUCGUAGGCGGUUUGUCGCGUCGGGGGUGAAAUCUCGGGGCUUAACUCCGAAACUGCAUUCGAUACUGCCGUGCUUGAGUACUGGAGAGGAGACUGGAAUUUACGGUGUAGCGGUGAAAUGCGUAGAUAUCGUAAGGAAGACCAGUGGCGAAGGCGGGUCUCUGGACAGUUCCUGACGCUGAGGCACGAAGGCCAGGGGAGCAAACGGG